ACGUAGGUGGCGAGCGUUGUCCGGAUUUAUUGGGCGUAAAGCGCCCGCGGCGGCUCGGCAAGUUUCAGGUGAAAUCUCCCGGCUCAACUGGGAGGGUGCCUGGAAAACUGUCGAGCUUGAGGCAGGGAGAGGGAUGUGGAAUUCCCGGUGUAGUGGUGAAAUGCGUAGAUAUCGGGAGGAAUACCAGUGGCGAAGGCGGCAUCCUGGCCCUGUCCUGACGCUCAGGGGCGAAAGCGUGGGGAGCAAACCGGA
rnacentral:rRNA from 1 species